rnacentral:rRNA from 1 species
UACGUAGGGUGCAAGCGUUGUCCGGAAUUAUUGGGCGUAAAGAGCUCGUAGGCGGUCUGUCGCGUCGGCUGUGAAAACCCGGAGCUCAACUCCGGGCCUGCAGUCGAUACGGGCAGACUGGAGUUCGGCAGGGGAGACUGGAAUUCCUGGUGUAGCGGUGAAAUGCGCAGAUAUCAGGAGGAACACCGAUGGCGAAGGCAGGUCUCUGGGCAUUAACUGACGCUGAGGAGCGAAAGCAUGGGGAGCGAACAGG